UACAGAGGGUGCAAGCGUUAAUCGGAAUUACUGGGCGUAAAGCGUGCGUAGACGGUUAUGUAAGUCGGAUGUGAAAGCCCCGGGCUCAACCUGGGAAUUGCAUUCGAGACUGCAUAGCUAGGAUGCGGAAGAGGGAAGUGGAAUUCCUAGUGUAGAGGUGAAAUUCGUAGAUAUUAGGAAGAACACCGGUGGCGAAGGCGGCCCACUGGUCCGGUACUGACGCUGAGGUGCGAAAGCGUGGGGAGCAAACAGG
rnacentral:rRNA from 1 species